rnacentral:rRNA from 1 species
UACGGAGGGUGCAAGCGUUAUCCGGAUUCACUGGGUUUAAAGGGUGCGUAGGUGGUCAGGUAAGUCAGUGGUGAAAUCUCCGAGCUUAACUCGGAAACUGCCGUUGAUACUAUUUAUCUUGAAUAUUGUGGAGGUAAGCGGAAUAUGUCAUGUAGCGGUGAAAUGCUUAGAUAUGACAUAGAACACCAAUUGCGAAGGCAGCUUACUACACAACGAUUGACGCUGAGGCACGAAAGCGUGGGGAUCAAACAGG